rnacentral:rRNA from 1 species
CAAGGUGAGAGAUACGGAGGUAGAGCACUGAAUGUCCUAGGGGGUAUUGCACCUACCGAAGACUAUCAAACUCCGAAUGCCGUCAUCUUAUACUUGGGAGUCAGACUGUGGGUGAUAAGAUUCAUAGUCGAAAGGGCAACAGCCCAGAUCGUCAGCUAAGGUCCCUAAAUGUAAGUUAAGUGGUAAAGGAUGUGGGAUUGCACAGACAACCAGGAUGUUGGCUUAGAAGCAGCCACUCAUUCAAAGAGUGCGUAAUAGCUCACUGGUCGAGUGAUCCUGCGCCGAAGAUUUCCGGGGCUAAAACUUACUACCGAAGCUACGGCAUCAGUAAUGAUGGGUAGGGGAGCUUCCCAUACGGGUUGAAGCAUGACCGUAAGGACAUGUGGACAGUAUGGGAGUGAGAAUGUUGGCAUGAGUAGCGAGAUGUGGGUGAGAAUCCCACAGGCCGUAAACCCAAGGUUGCCAGGGGAAGGUUCGUCCGCCCUGGGUUAGUCGGGACCUAAGCUGAGGCCGAAAGGCGUAGGUGAUGGACAACAGGUUGAUAUUCCUGUACUACCGAUAACCGUUUGAGAGAAGGGAUGACACAGUA